rnacentral:rRNA from 1 species
AACGAACGCUGGCGGCAUGCCUAACACAUGCAAGUCGAACGAGACCUUCGGGUCUAGUGGCGCACGGGUGCGUAACGCGUGGGAACCUGCCCUUAGGUUCGGAAUAACUCCCCGAAAGGGGUGCUAAUACCGGAUAAUGUCUUCGGACCAAAGAUUUAUCGCCUUUGGAUGGGCCCGCGUUGGAUUAGCUAGUUGGUAGGGUAAAAGCCUACCAAGGCGACGAUCCAUAGCUGGUCUGAGAGGAUGAUCAGCCACACUGGGACUGAGACACGGCCCAGACUCCUACGAGAGGCAGCAGUGGGGAAUAUUGGACAAUGGGCGAAAGCCUGAUCCAGCAAUGCCGCGUGAGUGAUGAAGGCCUUAGGGUUGUAAAGCUCUUUGACCCGGGAUGAUAAUGACAGUACCGGGAGAAUAAGCUCCGGCUAACUCC